rnacentral:rRNA from 1 species
CUGCUGCCUCCCGUAGGAGUUUGGACCGUGUCUCAGUUCCAAUGUGGGGGACCUUCCUCUCAGAACCCCUACGCAUCGUCGUCUUGGUGGUCCGUUACACCGCCAACUAACUAAUGCGACGCAUGCCCAUCCGCCACCGGAAUCAACCUUUGGCACCAACAGGAUGUCCCGUCGAUGCAUUAUGCCGUAUUAGACGGAAUUUCUCCCGAUUAUCCGGCUGUGGCAGGCAGGUUGCAUACGUGUUACUCACCCGUGCCG